GUUUGAUUGCUGGACCAGCUGCUGGACGUGGUGCACUGGAUCCGGCAGGCGGUGGUGCUCUGGGGCGUCGUCCCCCUCGUCGGCGCCUUCUCGAUCGUCCUGUACACUCACAAUUAUUGUACAGAUUGAUGCUACGGCUAUACUGCAGCGCAGGUGGGCAGGGGCACCUUCGGCGGCGUAGAUGGGCCUUGCUCGCGCGACGGUUGAUGAGGUUGAGUGCCAUUGGUGGCUGGGGCCUAGGGUUGGCUGCUGCCGCGAGCGACGGGGGACGGAGGAAGAAGGAAAGGGGGUAAUUAGCGUAAGGUUUACAAAGGACUUUUUUUUGUAAAAAUGCCAAUGAACUAUGCUGGCAACAUUAUUUUUCGGACGGAUGGAGUACUACUUUGCUUGCAAAACUAGGAGAUGACUAUUCAUAUCUUAUUUUGAUCAGAUAUUGUUGUGUAAAUUGAUAGUUGUGCUGCCC